CAUAUUGCUCCAGGUAGCGAACAAGGGUUAGUGGUCAACACUAACCUCUUCUGAAGUUUCCCCUUACAUGAAUGUUUGUCAAUCGACAUUUUGAGUUGUUGUCGUCCACAACGAAAGGCUUACCGCUUCCGUAUCUUCGAGAUCGAAUCUCCAAGACGGAAUCUCUCAAACUAUCGCUGCACCAUGCACCACCCAAACUGUUAGAUUUGAAGAAUCAGCUUUGUUUACACGACAAGUACCUGCGAAAACAAAAUAAAUUUUCAAAACCUGCAAUAAUUUUGUACAAACCCGAUACAAAUGUGUAUCUGGGUAGGCCCGAGCUUGAUUAUUCCUCUCCUGCCCGGCUAACAGUAUCGUCGCUCUCUCAAAAUCGGUGUUUUUCAAAGGAUUAAAACAUUUUUCAACUUCUUUUUUGGCUUCUGUUCUGCGACCUAAUUUUGAACCCUUCACAUCAGUUUGAUACCUGCAAAUUUUCCCUUCGGCUUCCCAGAUGAACCAGUGUAUGGAGACUUUUGGGAUGGAAGAAGUGCUUGCAGGUGUGCCACAAGGAUCAAUACUCGCUUCGAUGUACACAAUUUUUACUUCUGAUACGCCCAGAGAUGAAAAUGCACUUACCGCCAAAUCUGUAGAUUUAACAAGUCGUCCGUCAUCUACACAAGCAUCAAUUAUGUUAUAAAAUCAAAUAUCAACAAUUGAAAAAUGGAGCAAUCUUUGGAAAAUAAAGUUAACCCCUCAAGUCGUGAGACUUUUCCUAGCAUAUGUACUUAUACAAUGAACGUGUUCAUCAAUCCUACAAAGUAACUAUUUAGGACUUACAUUUAAUAAAAGACUAACUUGGAAUCCAUAAACUCUCAGCAAAUGAUUAAAAAUGCUUUAUUACCUUCCCAACCGACAAUCAAAAUUACUAUUAAAGUGAAAACUUUCGACAUACACAUCCUACUCAAAUCUAUUUGGAUGUAUGGGUGCCAAGUUUAUGGAUCGGCCAAAUAUUUCAAUAUUCAAAGAAUAAAAGGUUUUCAAUCCACAAUUUUAUGACUAAUUGUUUUGCCCCUUUUUACAUAAACAAUAACACACUUCAGAACGAUCUUCACUCUUUUCAUCUAUCAAAACAUAUUACAAAUACUUUCACAGUAAAUUACAAAAUCACACUAACACACAAAUACGAUUCCCGCAAUAACCAGGUAAGCUACUUAAAAUAAUGUGGAUAAGAGACUUCUUACAUAAAUAAUAUCAUUUUUACCUAGUGAUUUUUUUGCUGAAUGUCGCUAUACAAAUGUACAACUUCAUCGGUGAAUGUCUUGUUGAAUCUUUUUGGGAGAAAAACUCUUAUUGUAGAAUCUCGAAUAAAAAACAAGCACAGAUAGCCUCUUUUUGCUUCUCAGUUGCUCCAUCUUUUUAUGUAGAUAUGAAU